GUGCCAGCAGCCGCGGUAAUACGUAGGGUGCGAGCGUUGCCCGGAUUUAUUGGGCGUAAAGGGCGCGCAGGCGGCCACGCACGUCCGUUGUGAAAUCGCCCGGCUCAACUGGGCGGGGUCGGCGGAUACGGCGUGGCUGGAGCAAGCUAGGGGGUAGUGGAAUUCCCGGUGUAGUGGUGGAAUGCGUAGAUAUCGGGAGGAACACCAGUGGCGAAGGCGGCUACCUGGGGCUUUGCUGACGCUGAGGCGCGAAAGCGUGGGGAGCGAUCCGGAUUAGAAACCCUCGUAGUCC
rnacentral:rRNA from 1 species